rnacentral:rRNA from 1 species
UACGGGGGGGGCAAGCGUUGUUCGGAAUUACUGGGCGUAAAGGGCUCGUAGGUGGCCAACUAAGUCAGACGUGAAAUCCCUCGGCUUAACCGGGGAACUGCGUCUGAUACUGGAUGGCUUGAGUUCGGGAGAGGGAUGCGGAAUUCCAGGUGUAGCGAUGAAAUGCGUAGAUAUCUGGAGGAACACCGGUGGCGAAGGCGGCAUCCUGGACCGACACUGACGCUGAGGAGCGAAAGCCAGGGGAGCAAACGGG